GGGGUGGGUCAAACUAGGUAAAAUCAGCCCCCACAAAACUUGAAAACCGUCGAUGGGGAGACCUAUCCUAGAGUUCGAAUCUCUACACCUCCGCCA
rnacentral:tRNA from 1 species